rnacentral:rRNA from 1 species
GGGGGGGGGGGGGGGGGGGGGGGGGGGGGGGGGGGUGGGCGGGGGGGGUGGGUGCGGGCGCCGAUUUGGAGAGCAGCGAACGGGGGAGUAACGCGGGGGGAAUCUGCCGUGGAGCGGGGGACAACAUUUGGAAACGAAUGCUAAUACCGCAUAACAACUUUAAACAUAAGUUUUAAGUUUGAAAGAUGCAAUUGCAUCACUCAAAGAUGAUCCCGCGUUGUAUUAGCUAGUUGGUGAGGUAAAGGCUCACCAAGGCGAUGAUACAUAGCCGACCUGAGAGGGUGAUCGGCCACAUUGGGACUGAGACACGGCCCAAACUCCUACGGGAGGCAGCAGUAGGGAAUCUUCGGCAAUGGACGAAAGUCUGACCGAGCAACGCCGCGUGAGUGAAGAAGGUUUUCGGAUCGUAAAACUCUGUUGGUAGAGAAGAACGUUGGUGAGAGUGGAAAGCUCAUCAAGUGACGGUAACUACCCAGAAAGGGACGGCUAACUACGU